AUUGAACGCUGGCGGCAGGCCUAACACAUGCAAGUCGAACGAGUGGCGGACGGGUGAGUAAUGUCUGGGAAACUGCCUGAUGGAGGGGGAUAACUACUGGCAACGGUAGCUAAUACCGCAUACCAUCGGAUGUGCCCAGAUGGGCUUAGCGAGUAGGUGGGGUAAAGGCUCACCUAGGCGACGAUCCCUAGCUGGUCUGAGAGGAUGACCAGCCACAGUAGGACUGAGCCAGGGUCCAGACUCCUACGGAGGGCAGCAGUGGGGAUUAUUGAACAAGGGGCGCAAGUCUGAUGCAGCCAGGCCGCGUGUAUGAAGAAGGCCUUCUGGGUGUAAAGUACUUUCAGCGGAGAGGCGUUACCAGCAGAAGAAGCACCGGCUAACUCCGUGCCAGCAGCCGCGGUAAUAC
rnacentral:rRNA from 1 species